CAGCGUGCUAAUGUUUCUACCAGCUCACCACCUUAAGCAAGCUUCUUACCACAACACUAGAUCUGUGCCUAUAUAUAUCAGAAUAUCAACCACACCAUCAGAUGCUGGUCACAAUGCACUUCCAUUUCUGACUUGAUUGUGCAAUUUUUUCCAUCUUCAACAGCGACAUCAUCAUCAUCGUUUUGAUACCCUCCUUUUCUAUGCUUGCAUGGGCUGGACAAAACUACAUUGGAACAGAGUUUCUAUGACUGGAUGCUCUUCUUGAUGCCAACUGUCACUUGCUUCCAAGGAACAUAAUACGGAAAUAAUCCCUUAGUCUCUAAAAAGCAACAAGUAGCCCAGACAUGGUUAUGUGAGGAUACAGAAACGAAUGAUACCAAAUGAAUAAGCAUUCGUUUAUGCAGAUCGCACAACACAUCAAGAAACCCAUACGUACCAAGGCAGUGAAAUGCAAGGAAGCAACACAGACAGCAAGGCCUUUGUUUACAAGCAACAAACAUAUAAGGAAUAUUGGAACAAACCCCAAAGCGUGUAUGAUCUGGUCCAUACACAAGUCAAUCCAAAGAGGAUCUCAAGCAUAGUCAGAGUAUCCUUACAUGCAGUUUAUAAUGUCAAGAAGAGAAUGGACAUGGGCAAUGGCAUUCAAAGGAAGUCUGGCAAUGAUGGGGCCCAGCAAGAAGUGGAAUAAGGCUUCAUCAACACCCUCAAGUUCAAAAUUUCAAUAAACCCAACCACAUCCACAUCUAUAUUCAGUAUUUCAGUCAUGGCCAUGCUACAACACCACCUGGAACAGUUUAGUUGAACAAAUCAACACUAGUACAUAGCUUUAAGGCUGGCAAUCUUCCAGUCUCUUUUGCUGAAUCACUUUUGACAAGGUGAGUGAGG